rnacentral:misc_RNA from 1 species
UCACGGUUUGCACCGGCAGUCCCGCCAGAGUCCCCAGCUUUACCUGUUGGCAACUGACGGCAAGGGUUGCGCUCGUUAUAGGACUUAACCUGACACCUCACGGCACGAGCUGACGACAACCAUGCAGCACCUUGCAAAAUGUCCGAAGAAAAAGGCGUCUCUGCCCCUGUCAUUCUGCAUUUAAGCCCUGGUAAGGUUCCUCGCGUAUCAUCGAAUUAAACCACAUGCUCCACCGCUUGUGCGGGCCCCCGUCAAUUCCUUUGAGUUUCAUUCUUGCGAACGUACUCCCCAGGUGGGAUACUUAUCACUUUCGCUUGGCCGCCGAACACAAGUGCCCGACAGCUAGUAUCCAUCGUUUACGGCGUGGACUAC